rnacentral:rRNA from 1 species
UACGUAGGUGGCGAGCGUUGUCCGGAUUUACUGGGCGUAAAGAGCGCGCAGGCGGUCGUGCAAGUCGCGUGUGAAAGCCCCCGGCUCAACUGGGGAGGGUCACGCGAUACUGCUCGACUUGAAGGCAGGAGAGGGAAGUGGAAUUCCCGGUGUAGUGGUGAAAUGCGUAGAUAUCGGCAGGAACACCCAGGGGGAAACCAGCCGGCUGGGGACGUGCUGACGCUCAGGGGCGAAAGCGUGGGGAGCGAACCGG